ACGGAGGGAGCUAGCGUUGUUCGGAAUUACUGGGCGUAAAGCGUGCGCAGGCGGCUUUGCAAGACAGGUGUGAAAUCCCCGGGCUUAACCUGGGAACUGCAUCCGAGACUGCAUAGCUAGAGUAUGGGAGAGGGAAGUGGAAUUUCAGGUGUAGCGGUGAAAUGCGUAGAUAUCUGAAGGAACAUCAGUGGCGAAAGCGACUUCCUGGACCAAUACUGACGCUCAUGUGCGAAAGCGUGGGGAGCAAACAGGA
rnacentral:rRNA from 1 species